GUCUAUGGCCAUGCCACCCUGAACGUGUCCAAUCUCGUCUGAUCUCAAAAGCUAAGUAGGGUCGGGCCUGGUUAGUACUUGGAUGGGAGACCACCUAGGAAUACCAGGUGCUGUGGCGU
rnacentral:rRNA from 1 species